GCCGACCGACGGCGAGAAGCCACAUCGCGGAGAGGCAGGGACCGUCUCCCCAUCCCGGCAACCGUCUGCCUCGACAGAUUUCACAAGUUUUUUAAAGGACUUUUAAAAAAAAAAUCCCUGCCGGGGCCUUAAACCACCGCCUGGGUCGCAAGCUAAAUUUUAAGCGUUUUAUGCUUGGCCUAGUACGUUAUUAUUACUUUCCCAGUUUACCGGAGAUGACUUGAUAUCACACGCCGGGACCAAAAGAUCGUGAAAUCCCUUCCACCAAAGCCUUCCCUUGCCCUCCUUGACCCAAGAGAUAAAAUACAGAUUAACCUGCACCCUGAGGUUUUUGCAGGACUCAGACCCGCAAAAAACACCUUCCCACCCCAUCUCCUCCCUCCCUCCAGUACCCCUUACAAUUUCCUGUGCCUUUCCUCCUUGGUUAUCAGAACAGUCUGAUCCCCUCUCCCGCUUGCUUGCGGCAGACCACGGUUCUGCUUCAGCAUCUGACGGGAGAGAGACGGUAGCUGGCCCACGAAGGCCGGGGAUAAGAAGAGACCCCCAGCUGUCAAGGGAGCUAGCCGGACCACAGACUCCAGGAAGCAAAUGUCGAGUACUAUCAAAAGAAGCCAUCUGGGAAGACCACCCACUGUGAUUCUAGCCACUCCACCAAGUGUCAAAGUGCCUGAAAAGCAGAUCCUGGGGUCACUGCUGAGUCCAGCCUCUCAGGAAAACAGGAAAAUGAGAAGGAGCCCGUAGAUGGAUGUGCACCCAUCAAGAGGCUCUAAUGUGCCUUGAUUUGGACACAUCUCCUUUUCUGUCUUCUCUGGAUUCUCAGAUAAACUAAUAACUCUUGCCUUUACUUCCUUCUCACAUCUUUUUCCAGACAUUUUUUCCUUUUCUCUCUACAUCUGGCAGUUUAGAUACACUCUUUGGAGAAAUACCCCAAAACCGCCACACUAAACACCCCAAAUUCAUUUGGAAGAAGCCAAAUCAGCCAUUCCCAGAUUCUGUAAUGACUCUUGCAGGGCAUAAGAAUAACAAGAGGUAGAAACUGGGUAGACAACUGAGACAGUUCAAGAAAAGCAGCCAGUUUCUUUGUUAGGUCUCAUCCUUGCCAGAGACCAAAUAUGCCAAAAGUGUUUGGGGGCCCUGGUCUCGAUCAUUCCUAAAUGACUCUAAGGUGAAAGCAAGUUCACCUUAAACCAUGCUUAGGUCAACACUCACCAUAACAAUAAUUUACUCCGGGGCUGGAGAGGCGGCUCCGAGGUUAAGAGAACUGGCCACUUUUCCAGAGUACCCAGAAUUCAGCUCCCAGUAUCCACAUGGCAGCUCAAAGCCGUGUGUAACCUCAGGUCCAGAGAAUCUGAGGUCUUCUUCUGAUCUCUAUUACCACCAAGCAUGCAAGUAAUUCACAGACAUACAAGCAAAACACCCAUUAACAUAAAAUUUAAUAUUUUUAAAAUAAUAAAUUUAUUCUUUCUAGAGACUUCAAAUGAUCAACAUAUGCUGGCUAAGUCUGAAAAAAAAAACUGUAAAGAAAAGGGAAAUUUUAGAGAAAGUCUAUUCCUGUUAAAGUUAUGGGUUUGUUUUUUUUUUUUCUACCAGAGGUGCUUGGCCUUGGCCGGGCAAUGACUCACAUUUCCUGGACCUUCUCUUCCUCUUUGUGCCAAUUAACCAAUUUUGUAAGAUUACAAAGUCAAGCUCUGACCAAUGGGGGAGGAGUCAUCACCUAUGUCAGGAAUAAAAAACUGAAAGCAUCUUGA